rnacentral:lncRNA from 1 species
UUAAGACUUCCGUAGUGGCAUAAAUAUUUUAAACCAUUGAAGCAAUUUGAAUAAUCUUGAUUUGUUCAGACAUUAAAAAAAAAAAAGCAACAGUCAGGAAAACUGUCCUACUCAGAGAAUUCAGACUCAGAACUAACUACAGGGCUAUAACUUUCUUAUGAUUCUACAGUAAAGUGAGAAUCACCCAGGGGUGGCUUGUAUACAGGGACUUCCAGAGCCAACAACAUGAGUUCCUCAAAACCUGAACUAAAGAAUGAAAGUUGCCUCUCCAGUCCUUGUCCUCAGCUGUCCCUCCAACAAAGCACUACAUGCCUGCUUGAAAAGCAAAUACUUUUUUUGUCUUACUGGUGAGGACAACGAAGCUUCCAGAAGUUCAGCCAUCUUGAACAACCCUACAAAAGCAAACCCAAAAAACAAAUAACUGCUAUUGAAAUAUUCUCCAGUGGAGUCAGAGAUGUCUGCCAACUCACUACUCAA